GUGUUUGCUUUGGCAGCACAUAUACUAAAAAAAUUGGAAUGAUAUAGAAAGGAUUAGCAUGGCCUCUGUGCAGGAUGACAUGCAAAUUCAUGAAGUUUUCCACAUUUUA